rnacentral:misc_RNA from 1 species
AAGUCGUAACAAGGUUUCCGUAGGUGAACCUGCGGAAGGAUCAUUACAAAUCCAAAAACGUUUUUCCUUUUUAAGGUGCCAGCUGAUGCAUGGGAGAUGACUUCUUUGAAAAGUCACUCUCUGCUCGCUGCCCUUUGAGGGAAAAAUUGUUUUUUACCUCAAAACACUCACCCUUUGUGCACUGUUGAAAAAAGUCGUCAAAAACGUGGGGAGAUUUUGAGGGGAAAAACCCCCCCUCAGGUCUACUUUUUGGUUUUUGGCGUCAACCCAUUUCAAACGCUUCAUUAUCAUUUUUUUGCCUAAAGUUUUUUUUUUGAACCCAAGUGAUUGGAAAAUAAAAUAAGAAAAUACAACUUUUAGCAACGGAUCUCUUGGCUCUC